rnacentral:rRNA from 1 species
CCUACGGGUGGCAGCAGUGAGGAAUAUUGGUCAAUGGACGAGAGUCUGAACCAGCCAAGUAGCGUGAAGGAUGACUGCCCUAUGGGUUGUAAACUUCUUUUAUAUGGGAAUAAAAUGUUCCACGUGUGGGAUUUUGUAUGUACCAUAUGAAUAAGGAUCGGCUAACUCCGUGCCAGCAGCCGCGGUAAUACGGAGGAUCCGAGCGUUAUCCGGAUUUAUUGGGUUUAAAGGGAGCGUAGGUGGAUUGUUAAGUCAGUUGUGAAAGUUUGCGGCUAAACCGUAAAAUUGCAGUUGAAACUGGCAGUCUUGAGUACAGUAGAGGUGGGCGGAAUUCGUGGUGUAGCGGUGAAAUGCGUAGAUAUCACGAAGAACUCCGAUUGCGAAGGCAGUUCACUGGACUGCAACUGACACUGAGGCUCGAAAGUGUGGGUAUCAAACAGGAUUAGAUACCCUAGUAGUC